UACGGAGGAGGCAAGCGUUAUCCGGAAUUAUUGGGCGUAAAGCGUCCGCAGGUGGCUAUUCAAGUCUGCGGUCAAAGACUGGGGCUUAACCCUGGAAAGGCCGUGGAAACUGAAGAGCUAGAGUGCAGUAGGGGUAGAGGGAAUUCCCGGUGUAGCGGUGAAAUGCGUAGAGCUCGGGAAGAACAUCGGUGGCGAAAGCGCUCUACUGGACCGCAACUGACACUCAGGGACGAAAGCUAGGGGAGCGAAUGGG
rnacentral:rRNA from 1 species